rnacentral:misc_RNA from 1 species
CCUGUCCGAGCGUUAUAUUAACCAACUCACCGUAAAGGUGGUCUUGGGGCUGGCCGUCAGGCUCCCUUAAAAUUAGUGGCGGUGCGUCGAGCUCUAAGCGUAGUAAUUUCUCUCGCUACAGGGCCUCGGAGGUAGCUUGCCAGAACCCCAAAUUUUACAAGGUUAACCUCGGAACAGGUAGGGAUACCCGCUGAACUUAA